UACGUAGGGUGCAAGCGUUAAUCGGAAUUACUGGGCGUAAAGCGUGCGCAGGCGGUGAUGUAAGACAGUUGUGAAAUCCCCGGGCUCAACCUGGGAACUGCAUCUGUAACUGCAUCGCUGGAGUGCGGCAGAGGGGGAUGGAAUUCCGCGUGUAGCAGUGAAAUGCGUAGAUAUGCGGAGGAACACCGAUGGCGAAGGCAAUCCCCUGGGCCUGCACUGACGCUCAUGCACGAAAGCGUGGGGAGCAAACAGG
rnacentral:rRNA from 1 species